rnacentral:rRNA from 1 species
UACGUAGGCAGCAAGCGUUGUUCGGAAUUACUGGGCGUAAAGAGUGUGUAAGCGGUGUUCUAAGUUUGUCGUGAAAUCUCCCGGCUUAACUGGGAGGGUGCGGCGAAAACUGGAAUGCUAGAGGAUGGGAGAGGUAAGCGGAAUUCCUGGUGUAGCGGUGAAAUGCGUAGAUAUCAGGAGGAACACCUGUGGUGUAGACAGCUUACUGGACCAUUUCUGACGCUGAGACACGAAAGCGUGGGUAGCAAACAGG